rnacentral:rRNA from 1 species
AAAGGAAUUGACGGGGGCCCGCACAAGCGGAGGAACAUGUGGUUUAAUUCGAUGAUACGCGAGGAACCUUACCUGGGCUUGAAUGCAGGUUGACUGACUGGGAAACUGGUCUUUCUUCGGACAACCUGCAAGGUGCUGCAUGGUUGUCGUCAGCUCGUGCCGUGAGGUGUAGGGUUAAGUCCCAUAACGAGCGCAACCCUUAUCGUUAGUUGCCAGCGGAUAAUGCCGGGGACUCUAACGAAACUGCCGGUGUAAACCGUGAGGAAGGUGGGGAUGACGUCAAAUCAGCACGGCCCUUAUGUCCAGGGCGAAACACGUGUUACAAUGGCCGAUACAAAGGGCAGCUACCUGGUGACAGGAUGCUAAUCUCCAAAAUCGGUCUCAGUUCGAAUCGAAGUCUGCAACUCGACUUCGUGAAGCAGGAUUCGCUAGUAAUCGCGCAUCAGCCACGGCGCGGUGAAUACGUUCCCGGGCCUUGUACACACCGCCCGU